rnacentral:rRNA from 1 species
UACGGAGGGGGCUAGCGUUGUUCGGAUUUACUGGGCGUAAAGGGCGCGUAGGCGGUCGUGACAAGUCACUUGUGAAAUCUCCGGGCUUAACUCGGAACGGUCAAGUGAUACUGUCGGACUAGAGUACAGAAGGGGCAACUGGAAUUCUCGGUGUAGCGGUGAAAUGGCGUAGAUAUCGAGAGGAACACCUGGCGGCGAAGGCGGGUUGCUGGGCUGAUAACUGACGCUGGAGGCGCGGAAAAGCUAGGGGAGCGAACGGG